CUACUUUCAUAAUAAAUUUUGCUAUUAUAGAUAUAUUUCUUCAUUUUCGAUUUUAUUAAUCUAUUUGGUUUUUCUGUGGUAAUGCUACUCUAGUUUUAAUUACUAGGUUUUUACAAUAUUUUGGUAUCUGUUAGAGCAGGUUGUCAUUGUUUUUGAAGUUGCAUUGCCUCUUCUUAUACUGUUCUCUUACAGAUGUUUUCCAGAAUCAUUCUUACGCUCUUGAUUUUUUAUUUUAAUGACAUAUAGUCUCCGGAGUAGAGAUGAAGAGAGAAUUUCUAAACCUGGGGCUGUCUCAACUCCUGUAAAGCAUGCUGAUGAUCACACUCCUAAAACAGUGGAAGAAGUUACAGUUGAAAGAAAUGAGAAACAAACACCUUCUCUUCCAGAACCAAAGCCUGUGUAUGCCCAAGUUGGGCAACCAGAUGUGGAUUUACCUGUCAGUCCAUCUGAUGGUGUCCUACCUAAUUCAACUCAUGAAGAUGGGAUUCUUCGGUAAUACAGUUGUGAAGUUGUAUUGUUUUCUUUGUUCAUUAUUAAGCAUUAUUUAGAGUAGGAAUUUAAUUGUAAACCAUAUUGCAUAUAUUUUUUAAAAUAGUACAUACCACCUAAUAGUAUGAUUAGUUUUUAUAUUUAACAUUCUGCUACUUAUAUAGAUAGUCAAUUAGAAAUUAGACAACAAAGGAACUUUUUGGAUGCUUUCUUUCUCACCACUGUCUCCUGCCUAGUUUUUAAGUUAGGAAUUAGAAAAAAAAAAAUUCUAUUCAGACAUCAGAAUUUCCACAGCUUUCCAAUGGAGCAUU
rnacentral:sRNA from 1 species